GAGGUGAUAGCUCCGUGGAAGAGCGUGUGUCUAGCAAGCAUGAGGUCCUGGAUUCAAUCCCCAGUAACUCCA
rnacentral:tRNA from 1 species